CCCUGGUGUUAACAUUCUCGCGGCUUGGCCUCCCUCUCCUGAUAACAAACCAACCAUUAAACCUAACUUUUUUCUUGCAUCUGGUACCUCUAUGUCUUGUCCUCACCUCAGUGGAGUAGCAGCAUUGCUGAAAAGCGCGCAUCCCACUUGGUCCCCUGCAGUUAUUAAAUCAGCAAUCAUGACAACGGCUAAUAUAGUAAACCUCGCCAAUGAUCCCAUCUUAGAUGAAAGGCUACUUCCAGCUAACAUCUUUGCCGUUGGUGCAGGACAUGUCAAUCCAUCAAAAGCUAAUGAUCCAGGGCUAGUUUACGAUACACGAUUUAAGGACUACUUGCCUUACUUAUGUGGUUUGAACUACACAAAUCGACAGGUGGGAAAUCUUCUACAACGUAAGGUGGAUUGUAAACAAGUGAAAAGUAUUCCUGAAGCGCAACUAAAUUAUCCUUCAUUCUCCAUCACACUCGGGGCAAAUUCUCAGACAUAUACGAGAACAGUAACUAACAUUGGGGACGCUAAAUCAUCUUACAAUGUGGAAAUAGGUUCACCACCGGGCGUUUCUGUCAUUGUUAAGCCCUCUACUCUAAAAUUCUCGAAGUUGAACCAGAAGUUCAAAUAUCAAGUAACAUUUUCAAAAAGAGCUAAUAGCUCAAAUAGUGGUAUUGUUCAAGGAUUCUUGAAAUGGACUAGUAAUAAGUACUCUGUAAGAAGUCCAAUUGCAGUUGUGUUAGACACUACAAUUGGUUUCUAGUUUAAUUUCUAUUUUUAGUAAUUGGAACAAUGUAUAACAAGUCUAUAUAUUAGUGGUUUCAAUAAAAACUGUAGAAUAAGUUCCAAAAGUAUUCACAUUCUAUUUGGCCACACAGAUUCAGUUAUUCUGUGAAAUUAUAAUCCCACCUUCUAUAUCUGUUAGGUAAUACCAAGAUUUUGGCAUAAAAUUUAUAUCGAUAUUCGCUUAUAGAUAUUAGUUAACACCAAUCAGAGGCGGACCUAUGUGUAACCUUGAGGGGUCAUCAGACCCCGUAAAUUUCGGCAAAAAUCCUGUAUUGUACACCUUGAAAAUGAUUAAUUUAAAUCACUUGGCUCCCUAAACACUAAAAGCCUUUAGGGAGCACUGGUUGAGCAGAAUAUUGGUGCCCUCGUCGUGUUAAAAUCUUGGGUCUGCUUCUAACAUUUUGAAGAAAUCUCUACAAGUUUUAAAGAACCAAGUAUUACUUUAAAUUGAAUUGACAUAUUGUCUCCAAUCUGGUGGUUGUUUUAUGAAAUUAACUUUACUUUGUCAAUCAUUUCCCCCCACAUGGUAUUCAAGAACCACAUCACUGCAAGUAAAAAGCACAUUGUAUUAAGUAUGUAGUAUAUGCAUAGAACCUAAAGAAUAGAAAAUUAGUAACAACUUCAGCAAUGAUCUGCAUAUGUUGUGCUUGAUCUGCACUCAAGGGUGUAAUUUAUCGGUUAAUAAAUUCGGGGAAAGUCAUGGAUGAAAAGCCAAGGUUCUAAUUUUAGUAGAUUCUUUAAGAAACGGUAGGUAAUUUCUUAUCAUCAGUCUAAGUUUUGAUAGAUAGAGUUGCUCGAUAUAUGUGCUGGUGAGAGGUAACAUGUAUUCAAUGGAAUAUUCAAGGUGCGUUCAAACUUGAGCCAUGUCAAUUUACCAAACAGUCCCAUAGUGAAAAUCAAGAAAAGCAACCUAUAGAACAGUUUGUGGUUGCAAACUUUAUAGUAUAACUGUCAAUAUGGGCCGGGCCGGGCUAAGCCAGCCCGGCCCACGUAGACUUUCAUAAUUAACGGGCUGGGUUGGGCUAGCCCACCGUUUUGAUGGGCCUUAUAAUGGUCAACCCACCCCAGCACUAUGUGGGCCGCGGGCCCCCACGGGCCUGCCCAUCAUUUUUAAAAAUAUAAUUUUAUAUUUUUUCUUUAAGUUCUGACCUAAAAAAAGAUAAUUAUUUAAAAGUUAAAAUAUCUUAUUGGAAAAAAUUUGCAAAACUUAAUAACUUUUUAUAUUGUUCCAAUAUAUCACAAUAAAUACUAAAAAAAGUAAAAAACAGGACUAUAUUUCAUUCACUAAAAGUCAAAACUUAAAACAAACUAUUCAAGAGAACGUUCAUGAUGCUUAUGAGAUAUCCAACACAUCAUCUUCAUCAAACACAUUUGAAUCCGCUUGUGACAAGGUUGUCUUAACAUCUUCACUUUCAUCUACAAUUCAUAUGCAAUAUUAAUUAGUUAAAUAUUAAAAAAAAAAUUAAAAAUUAAUAAUAUUUAAAUUCACAUAAAAAAAUAUUACCAGUUUGAGUUUGGAAAAAUCUGUGCAGCCAAUUUCGAGUAGUAACAAGUGUUUGGAUAUUUUCAUAAUAAAUGUAACUUCUGUACUUUGUAAGAACACGCCACCAAUGCUAAAUAUUGAUUCCGAUGGUACAAUGGUAAUAANNNNNNNNNNNNNNNNNNNNNNNNNNNNNNNNNNNNNNNNNNNNNNNNNNNNNNNNNNNNNNNNNNNNNNNNNNNNNNNNNNNNNNNNNNNNNNNNNNNNNNNNNNNNNNNNNNNNNNNNNNNNNNNNNNNNNNNNNNNNNNNNNNNNNNNNNNNNNNNNNNNNNNNNNNNNNNNNNNNNNNNNNNNNNNNNNNNNNNNNNNNNNNNNNNNNNNNNNNNNNNNNNNNNNNNNNNNNNNNNNNNNNNNNNNNNNNNNNNNNNNNNNNNNNNNNNNNNNNNNNNNNNNNNNNNNNNNNNNNNNNNNNNNNNNNNNNNNNNNNNNNNNNNNNNNNNNNNNNNNNNNNNNNNNNNNNNNNNNNNNNNNNNNNNNNNNNNNNNNNNNNUGUAGGAACUGACAAGAUGCAUACAAAUAAAGAAAAGAGCCAUCUCAUGUUUCCAGAAAAUUAAAGAGCUAGGGUCCUUUGACACUUGUUAGUUGUCUAGUCACAAUCAUAAAGAAAAUAAAUCACAUGCUCCUAAAUAUUCCAGUAGUAGGUACGCCUAAAAAGACAGCACAUUGUACGGACUAUCUCGCAUUCAUGUAGAGUUCGAAAAAGGGUCGUAUCCUGAGAAGUGUGAUAUAAGGUAAUUCCAAAAGUUUUAAUCCAUGACUAGGGCUGACAACAUAGUUAAAAGAAAACAAUUAACCACUCAUAUUAUCCACUAAAAAAUGAGUUGGAUUAUAAACUUUUUAAAAAUAAGUGAAAUAUGGAUAAGAACUAUAUUAUUCAUUUAGAAAAUGAAUAAGCAAUGGUCUAACUUUUAUAUUUAUAAAGCCUCAAAUUGGGGGUUCCUCAAAUUAUGGAGACUAGGAAUUCUCCCAAAAGUGAUCAUAUGUAAGAAUUUAUAGAUAAUAUGAUUACUCAUAUUAUCCGCCGGUUAAACCAUUUUUUAUCCGUAUUAAAUAUGGGUCGGGUCGGAUAAUUGAUCCGUUUUUUCUGGCGUCUGGCACCUCUAUGUCUUGUCCUCAUCUCAGUGGAGUAGCAGCAUUGCUGAAAAGCGCGCAUCCCACUUGGUCCCCUGCAGUUAUUAAAUCAGCAAUCAUGACAACGGCUAAUAUAGUAAACCUCGCCAACGAUCCCAUCUUAGAUGAAAGGCUACUUCGCCGUUGGUGCAGGACAUGUCAAUCCAUCAAAAGCUAAUGAUCCAGGGCUAGUUUACGAUACACGAUUUAAGGACUACUUGCCUUAUUUAUGUGGUUUGAACUACACAAAUCGACAGGUGGGAAAUCUUCUACAACGUAGGGUGGAUUGUAAACAAGUGAAAAGUAUUCCUGAAGCGCAACUAAAUUAUCCUUCAUUCUCCAUCACACUCGGGACAAAUUCUCAGACAUAUACGAGAACAGUAACUAACACUGGGAACGCUAAAUCAUCUUACAAUGUGGAAAUAGGUUCACCACCGGGUGUUUCUGUGAUUGUUAAGCCCUCUACUCUAAAAUUCUCGAAGUUGAACCAGAAGUUCAAAUAUCAAGUAACAUUUUCAAAAAGAGCUAAUAGCUCAAACAGUGGUAUUGUUCAAGGAUUCUUGAAAUGGACUAGUAAUAAGUACUCUGUAAGAAGUCCAAUUGCAGUUGUGUUAGACACUACAAUUGGUUUCUAGUUUAAUUUCUAUUUUUAGUAAUUGGAACAAUGUAUAACAAGUCUAUAUAUUAGUGGUUUCAAUAAAAACUGUAGAAUAAGUUCCAAAAGUAUUCACAUUUUAUUUGGCCACACAGAUUCAGUUGUUCUGUGAAAUUAUAAUCCCACCUUCUAUAUCUGUUAGGUAAUACCAAAAUUUUGACAUAAAAUUUAUACCGAUAUUAGUUAAUACGAAUCAGAGGCGGACUUAUGUGUAACCUUGAGGGGUCAUCAAACCUGGUAAAUUUCGGCAGAAAUCUUGUAUUGUACACUUUGAAAAUGGUUAAUAUAAAUCACUUGGGGACACUGGUUGAGCAGAAUACUGGUUCCCCCGUCGUGUUAAAAUCCUGGAUCCGCUUCUGACACCAAUAACCAAACGGUGGAUCUAAAUUUAGUACUGAAAUUAGUAUCCUAAUCCCAGUAACCAAACGACUCCUCGAAGUACCGGCCCUAAGCGGGCAUCGAAGGUUAAGAUGGUCAACUCAUUGGAAAUUCUUGAGUAUUUAUAGGCAACCAACAUACCCUUUUAGAAAAGAUUUCUUGAUUCACAAACAGACAUCUCCGGACAGGCCUGUUUGACCAAAAGAUAUUGAAACGUUUUUCAUUAAAUCAAUUAAGAAAAUUGAAGGGGUAAAUCUCGGCCAAAUAUAAUAAGAUCUAGCUUGAAGGAUGUUAAGAAUGAGCAAGAUGAAUAAUAUUUCUUUGUAUUUCAGGGUUGAACGACAAAUUAUCAAUAUGACAACUCUGAAUGUAAAGAGAUUUUGUAAUAGAUAUUCCCAGCUUCAAGUAAAAGUCGUAUAUAGAUCUUAGAAUUGUGAUCCCAGAAGCUCCCCUUUUUAAAGAGUGUCCGGUCCCCUUUUAUAGGGGACAAUCUCCCUUCUUACUCUCAAAAGAAAAAAGUACAACUUAAAGAAUAUUCCAAAGGCAUAUUCUCAUUGUUUCCUAUCAUGCUAACACGACUACAAGUGUCGUGCGUUCGCUAGCCACUGUCGAUCGUCGUUCAUCAUGACGAUCCUUAGGAAGCGACAUCGUAGGGACCUUGCUCUCUGCAUUACUUGGUUUCGGUCGUGGUCGUCCAAAUUUCGACCCAUACAAGGCCCUUUCAUAAUAGACAUAACUGUUUAUUCGAAUUUAUAAUUCAAAUAAACUGAUUUUCUGUCACAAAUUAAAAUUUAAAGUAAAAUAAUUAACUUUAGGAUCCGACACGGCCCGCGCCCAAGUCAAAUCCAAGUCUAAGUCUUUGAUUAUAUAAUAUAUAAAUAUAGAGUUUUUGACUAAAAUUAUCCCUUAUCUAUAGGAAUAGGUUCAUUUUUGUCCUUCAAAUAUAAACUAGAGCACCUUUAAUCCUAUAACUUUGUUAAACUAGAGCACCUUUGGUCACACUAACCUCACCAACUUAAAAACUAACGGAAGGGGCAAAUUUUCUAAUGGUGAUUGCCUGAAGCUUCUCAAAUGAUUUCCUUAUGGGUUCUGCAAAUUUGAUUAGUUCAAAAUUGUGACAUCCCCACCUUUACCCAAGGAGUAAUUAAUGUAGGAAACAUAUCUUUUUAAAUUAACUAUCCUACAGCAGCAACAACCAAUCCUUUUAAGCAGAAACUUACAUAUCAAAAAAUAUAUCUCCAGUCACUCUACUUUCUUGAGUUGCUUUCAUAUGGUCUUGGCUAGCAGGCUCUCUUCUUACCUACAAUAAAGAAAAAUAUUAUCAUUAAUAUAAUUAAAUAAAGUGAUAUGUGUAAUAAACUCAUACCGGAACCUUUACAGGAGCAGAAGAUGCAAUAGGAAAUGAGGGUUCUUGUCGCACCGUCUCAUCAUCAUGAGAAUCUGGAUACACACGAUUUAACUUGCAGGUUCUUUUGUUAUGGCCUGGAUUAUGGCAUAAGCUACAAUCUAAUUUUGUUUGCUUCCUUUUCAUUUUUUGUCAACUUGCUCCAACUUCAUCAGGCUCUUUUUUGCGAAGCUUUUGUUUUCUUCCUUUGGUACUUUGUCUUUCCAAUCGUGGAAGCAAAGGAGGAAUGUUAUUCGACUUAGGCCACAUCUCUUGACCAUUCAUAGGUAGAAUAGAAAGUGCAUAGAUCAUUCUAUAAGUUUCUACCUUAUAACAAUCAUCCACAUAUGAAUUAAUGUCAUCAUGUUUAGCCCAAAUCGCGGCAAUGGCAUGCUUGCAAGGAAUUCCUGUUAGAUCCCAUUUCCUACAACUGCAUUUUCUAUUUAGCAAAUUCACAACCCACUUGUUCAUUAUACUUGUUCCUAUUAUCUCAUAAUUCCACUCAUUUGACUUUCUGGGAAUAAAUUCAGCUGCUUUCGCUUGAUUUUUGUGCAAUACAUCCUUAAUCCUGGGGCAAAUAUCACCAUCAUUCCACUUGGUACCUUUAUCCCUAUUUGCUUGCAUCCUUGUCAUAAGGUGAGACCUUAACUUCUCCAGUAAAGUGAUAAUCGACUUAUCUCUAGCCUCAAUGAUCAUGCUAUUAAAACAUUCACACAUAUUAUUGAGUAAGGUAUCGCAUUUCACAGUUUCAGGAAAGUGAGAUUUAGACCAUUCAGUAUGCGACUUCUUCUUGAGCCAAUGAGCAGCUUAUGAAUCUAUAUCAAAGAUGUCAACCAUGCAAUCCUCAAACCACUUUACUGUUGUAGCCUUUGCAGCCUUCCAAAGGGCAUUCCUGAGUGAGAUACUACUGAAUCCGGCCCUCUGCAUUAUGAUAAUGUCACUUGAACUCUAAGUUCCACACUAACGUGAUCUCUGAAUGCACCGAUUGCCCAAGACCUAUUUGAGCUUAUGACCUUAAGAUAUCUUUGUGCAAUAUAAGAAGAUGUGAUUGCUUUGUUACGGUGGUUCCAAAUCUUACAAUCAUGAGUGGGAUUGUAUGUUCUGAUCUGAAAUGUUCUAUCUCAAUGCAUUCUUGAAGCUAGAAUCUCUCAUUUGCAAUCUAGAUGAUCACAAGUUGCUCUCACUCUCGAGUUAUCAUUCUUGCACCACUUAAUGUACUUCCCUUCAUUAACUUCAUGAGUUAUUACAACAUAUUUGAACUCAUGCUUGUUUUCAAAUGUCAAUUCUAAUGCCAACACUGGUUUAUCCCCGUCUGUUUUAGGAUUGAACAUCGGAAAGUUGAAACUCUCACUGUCAGAGUCACAUUCUAAACUCUUUGUAUCAUCCGAGUCAACACAAUAUGUAUCACCUUCUUCAGCAGUCAUUUUUUUUCUUAACUUCUUCACUAACUUCAUAUAUAUGAUUCACAUUUUCAUUAUCAUCUGAAAAAUCAUUUUCAGUAGAAACAAGUCGCAUUCUAUUCCCGUACCUCCUGCACUUCUGCCAAAAAGUAACAGAAUCUCUCUCAUAACCACAUAGUUCUGCCAUGGAUUUGAAUUGCGAGAGCUUCAACUCCAUAUGGUUAACAUAAUCAAUAAAAUCUAUACGACCCCCAAGAUAAUAUCUGCUAGGCUGAUGCUUCAUCGUACCACCAUGUGUUACUUUUAUACUGAAAAAAGAAGCCUCGUAUGCAUGGUCUGCCAACAACAACAACAACCCAGUAUAAUCCCACUUAGUGGGGUCUGGGGAGGGUAGUGUGUACGCAGACCUUACCCCUACCCUAGGGUAGAGAGACUGUUUCCAAAUAGACCCCCGGCAUCCUUCCCUCCAAGAACUUCCCACCUUGCUCUUGGGGAGACUCGAACUCACAACCUCUCAGUUAGAAGUGGAGUUGCUUACCAUUAUAGUAACCCUGACGUUAGACCUUUUUCUAGUGGACACGUACAGAGUAAUUUUAUAAGAAGAAAAAGACACGUUAAUAUGGGUGGACCUAAUUCGCCAACGAUUAAAAAAGAGAGAUAAAAGAUUAGCAAUGUUAGAAACAACUUUUUUAUUCCUUAUUGUUUGUCUCUAUUCCAAUAUUUUUUAUUCGAAAAGCUACUGCAUAUCACUGUAUUGCACGAAGAAUAGGAGAGAUUUAAUCUACUAACUUUAUUAUAAUACAAUGAAGCUCUCAUGUGUUAUAUAAUAAUCAUUAAAUAAACUAAAGAAUGAGAAAUUGAAUCAACUUACAGUAAAAAAAAAAAAAAUCACAAUUUCUUCAGUUUGAUGAAAAUCCAAAUACUAUUUCUUGCUAAAAUCUUACUAUAAUUGGGUAUUUCAUUACCAUGGCAUCUAAUAAUCAUUGCUGGAGAUCAAUAAAUAAGCUUCUUCACUUUGAGUCCUCUUCUUGUUUUCAGUCAUCGAAGCUUUUUUUGAGAGGCUAGGGUUUUUGGUAAUGGGUUUCUUUGUCG
rnacentral:lncRNA from 1 species